GUGGCUCUGGUGGCUGACAGCUGUUGUAAACCAUCGCUAUCCUCCCGUCAUCCCGCAGGGCAGAGGGAGGACAGGGGAGCGGUGGGAGGGGUGCUGCGUGAGAACGCUUCUUCCCAGCUUGCUGAAAUAACUGUAACAUGAAGACACACCACAAUGAUCUCAAGUUUUGAUCUGAAAUGCUGGAAGGAGCAAUCAGUACAAGUCAGGCCUAGGCCACAUGCCACUCGGAGGAGCUUUCUAUGAAGAGAAUGCCAGCUCCCCUCGCUGGAUGAAUAAGUAGGAUUCUACCCAGAAGCAGACAGGGAACAAAG